GCAGUCGAGCGGACAGAAGGGAGCUUGCUCCCGGAUGUAGCGGCGGACGGGUGAGUAACACGUGGGUAACCUGCCUGUAAGACUGGGAUAACUCCGGGAAACCGGAGCUAAUACCGGAUAGUUCCUUGAACCGCAUGGUUCAAGGAUGAAAGACGGUUUCGGCUGUCACUUACAGAUGGACCCGCGGCGCAUUAGCUAGUUGGUGAGGUAACGGCUCACCAAGGCGACGAUGCGUAGCCGACCUGAGAGGGUGAUCGGCCACACUGGGACUGAGACACGGCCCAGACUCCUACGGGAGGCAGCAGUAGGGAAUCUUCCGCAAUGGACGAAAGUCUGACGGAGCAACGCCGCGUGAGUGAUGAAGGUUUUCGGAUCGUAAAGCUCUGUUGUUAGGGAAGAACAAGUGCAAGAGUAACUGCUUGCACCUUGACGGUACCUAACCAGAAAGCCACGGCUAACUACGUGCCAGCAGCCGCGGUAAUACG
rnacentral:rRNA from 1 species